rnacentral:rRNA from 1 species
UACGUAGGGUGCAAGCGUUGUCCGGAAUUAUUGGGCGUAAAGAGCUCGUAGGCGGUUUGUCGCGUCUGCUGUGAAAACUCAGGGCUUAACCCUGAGCCUGCAGUGGGUACGGGCAGACUAGAGUGUGGUAGGGGAGAUCGGAAUUCCCGGUGUAGCGGUGAAAUGCGCAGAUAUCGGGAGGAACACCGGUGGCGAAGGCGGUUCUCUGGGCCUGUACUGACGCUGAGGAGCGAAAGCGUGGGGAGCGAACAGG